rfam:Dacryopinax sp. DJM-731 SS1 chromosome Tnknown DACRYscaffold_12, whole genome shotgun sequence.
GUUUCCGUAGCACAGUGGUAGUGCAUCGUACUUAUGGGCAACCUGACAUGCGAAUGUCACGGGUUCGAUCCCCGUCGGAAAUA